rnacentral:rRNA from 1 species
GAUGAACGCUAGCGACAGGCCUAACACAUGCAAGUCGAGGGAAAGGGUAGCAAUACCUAAAACCGGCGCACGGGUGAGUAACGCGUAUGUAACCUGCCUACAACAGGGGGAUAGCUUUCGGAAACGGAAAUUAAUACCGCAUAAGACCACGCUUUCGCAUGGGAGCGUAGUAAAAUUUACGGAGGUUGUAGAUGGGCAUGCGUGACAUUAGCUAGUUGGUAAGGUAACGGCUUACCAAGGCAACGAUGUCUAGGGGUUCUGAGAGGAAGGUCCCCCACACUGGUACUGAGACACGGACCAGACUCCUACGGGAGGCAGCAGUGAGGAAUAUUGGUCAAUGGGCGCAAGCCUGAACCAGCCAUGUCGCGUGCAGGAUGACGGCCCUAUGGGUUGUAAACUGCUUUUGUACGGGAAGAAAAAAGAUUACGUGUAAUCUAUUGCCGGUACCGUACGAAUAAGGAUCGGCUAACUCCGUG